GUGGAUUAGAUACCCUGGUAGUCCACGCCGUAAACGAUGGAUACUAGCUGUUCGGCCGCAAGGUUGAGUGGCUAAGCGAAAGUGAUAAGUAUCCCACCUGGGGAGUACGUUCGCAAGAAUGAAACUCAAAGGAAUUGACGGGGGCCCGCACAAGCGGUGGAGCAUGUGGUUUAAUUCGAUGAUACGCGAGGAACCUUACCAAGGCUUAAAUGUAGUUUGACAGAUUUGGAAACAGAUCUUUCUUCGGACAAAUUACAAGGUGCUGCAUGGUCGUCGCCAACU
rnacentral:rRNA from 1 species